AGGAACAAAAACGGUGGCAGCAGGACAGGAAUCUCGAGUUGGGCCGCCCCUCAUCCUUUCAAUCGACUCUACCUCGAUUUCAUUUCCCUCCCGCCCAUCCCUCUCUCCAAAACCAUCCUCCUUCUCCUCCUCCUCCUAGAUUCUAUCCUCCUCCUUCUAGAUUCUAUCUGUUUUAUAUCGAUUGCUUGAUCCAAUCACCAUGCCGUCGGGUCCUAGGAAGCGAAGAGCCGCCAGGCGCAAGGAGAAGAUGCAGAGUGUGGUUACCCUCCUCCCUUCCGAUGGUCCUAUAGAUGCCGGGCAACAAGAGGAUCUGAUUCCGCACGAGAGCACAGAGAGCGACUGCCAGUCCCCACCAUAUUCCUCUGCCCCGUCUUCUCCAUAUGUCGAGAGCCGACCCUCACGAUCCUCAAACGAGUGGUUUGGAUCUGAUGCUGUCGAUAAUGUGUUGGAGAGUUCGACGAAUAACCUAAAAGAAGCGGGCUUCAUGCAGGAAGAUGAGCAGGAGGUUGCUUUGGCCGCAAAGGAAGUAUCUUUAUUGCCUACAGUUACAUCGGAUGCUAUAUCAGAAUUAUUUGCCCAAUCUGAGAAGGAUGAUAGGAAUUCUGUUGAGCAAUCAUCUGUUUGUGUCGAAAAGAUUAUUUCUGUGCAAGAGGAGAGAAACCAAAUGACCGAGGUUGUUAUUGCAGUAAAGGAAGUAGCUUUAUUGUCCUCAGAUGCACCGGAAGCUAAAUCAGAUGAAUUUACCGAAUCCAAGAAUGAAGUUAAGCAACCCUCUGAAGAAUCAAUUAUUUCCAUCCAAGAGAUUACUACUUUGCCCGAGGAGAAUAGCCAAAUCACUGAGGUUGCUACCAAUGUUCAUGAGAAGACCUCAGGUGAUCAGGGAUUAAAAGGUGCACACGUCCGUGAUGUUAAUGGAGUCCUCAAACAAGAUGGUGAGAUUCGUGAAGCUUGUCAAGUUGCUGGAGGAGGCAAGGCAUUACCGGCAACUGAGGUCUUACCCCAUGUUCCACUGGUGGUGAACCAUACAAAGUGGUGGAAUUGUUGUGGACUGCUUGAUUGUAUCAUGGGCCACGAUAGAUAAUUCUAGGUAUUUUAGUAACCUCAGAAGUACAAACAGUUUUUCUUCAAUGAAGGUUACCCUAAUAAAGCUUCUCAAAAAAUCAUGAUCGUCAUCUCGAGUCUUUUAACUUUAGAUGUCCACGAGUAAUAAUUUUGCUGCUGCACUAUAAGCUGAUUACAGGUCGGUUAGUGUUGCCUGUGCCACAUUCAGUCGUAGCUGCAAUCAGAAUUUGCACAUGUUGAUGUGAAAAAGAGUCCUAGUGAACAUGGAGAGUUCUGUUGAUAUCUGGUAUUACUAGACAUUUUAAACUUGAGAUUCACAUGAAGACAAAUCAUACCAUCUCACCAGCUUCAUGAGCGAUUCCGUUAAGUCACAGGAAGUGUAGAUCUGCUUUCAAUGGUAGAGAUUGUCAAUAAGCAAGAUCGGAUAAUUAGAAAGUUCUUGGAGAUUCAAUGAUUCCUAAGAUUAUAGUUAUAAUUACUUUUAUCUUGCAUCGACUACAAUCAAAAUAAAGCUAGAUGUUAUUGCUAAAA